UAGCGAAGGGCCCAAUUGCUAGGCCCAACAUGGCCUUUGGCUUGGAGACAGGGGGUACAGAAGGAUUUUAAGGGUGCAUUGAGUAAAAAAAUGGGCCCAAGAGAAUAGACAUUCCAAGACAAAAUGAUUAGUGUAUGAACCCUAAUUAACAAAAACUUAAAUUAAACCUUAACCCCAUGGAAUCAAAGCCCAAUUGGUUGGGGCUUUGAUUCCCCAAGCCUCUAGCUACAUCACGAUAAUGAUUUUGAAGCGAAAUGGUGAAAAAAUAAAUCUUACCGCCGGAGACUCUGAAGGUGACGAUGACGAUGAAGCUAAAUUCGCAGGGUUGACUUAGGGAUGUGCAAAGUUGGUUUAUGCUUGGAAUAUGGAUCAUGUUCUCAAGGCAUUUGGAACAAGGCAUGGCUUGGAGACAUCAUGGCUAUUUGAUAGUAAAUGAAGUUUAGCCAUGAAGUUGAAAUAGAGGAUGAAAGCAUGAAGAACCAAAGUAGAAAAUUGGAUUAGGGCUAGUGAUUAGAUGAGUUGACUUUGGUCAAAUGGUUGACCAAAAAGUCAACAGUGGACCAAAGUCAACUAUAGGUCAAAAUCCAUUUUUUGUUAUUUUGUAUGAAUAAAAUGAAAGUGUUUGGAUGAGAAAAGUUCUUAUGAUUUAUGAAACAAUUCUUAUUUUCAAAA